rnacentral:rRNA from 1 species
AGGACGAACGCUGGCGGCGUGCCUAACACAUGCAAGUCGAACGGACGAGAGGAGCUUGCUCCUCAAGUUAGUGGCGAACGGGUGAGUAACGCGUGAGCAACCUGCCCUUCAGAGGGGGACAACAGCUGGAAACGGCUGCUAAUACCGCAUGACAUAUUUCCGAGGCAUCUCGGGGAUAUCAAAGAUUUAUCGCUGAAGGAUGGGCUCGCGUCUGAUUAGAUAGUUGGCGGGGCAACGGCCCACCAAGUCGACGAUCAGUAGCCGGACUGAGAGGUUGAACGGCCACAUUGGGACUGAGAUACGGCCCAGACUCCUACGGGAGGCAGCAGUGGGGAAUAUUGGGCAAUGGGCGCCAAGCCUGACCCAGCAACGCCGCGUGAAGGAAGAAGGCUUUCGGGUUGUAAACUUCUUUGACGAGGGACGAAGGAAAUGACGGUACCUCGAAAACAAGCCACGGCUAACUACGUGCCAGCCGCGGC